rnacentral:rRNA from 1 species
UACGUAGGGUGCAAGCGUUAUCCGGAAUUACUGGGCGUAAAGGGUGAGUAGGCGGUCAAUUAAGUCAUAUGUGAAAAUCCAGGGCUCAACUCUGGACUUGCAUAAGAAACUGGUAGACUGGAGUGCAGGAGAGGUAAGUGGAAUUCCUAGUGUAGCGGUGAAAUGCGUAGAGAUUAGGAAGAACACCAGUGGCGAAGGCGACUUACUGGACUGUAACUGACGCUGAGUCACGAAAGCGUGGGGAGCGAACAGG